GGGCGAAUGGUCUAGGGGUAUGAUAUUCGCUUUGCAUUGUCCUGGGAUUCAAACCCGGAGUUCAUCAAUGUCUGCGAAGGGUCCGGGGUUCAAAUCCCCGUUCGUCCA